ACGUAUGGUGCAAGCGUUAUCCGGAUUUACUGGGUGUAAAGGGAGCGCAGGCGGAAGGCUAAGUCUGAUGUGAAAGCCCGGGGCUCAACCCCGGUAGUGCAUUGGAAACUGGUCAUCUAGAGUGUCGGAGGGGUAAGUGGAAUUCCUAGUGUAGCGGUGAAAUGCGUAGAUAUUAGGAGGAACACCAGUGGCGAAGGCGGCUUACUGGACGAUAACUGACGCUGAGGCUCGAAAGCGUGGGGAGCAAACAG
rnacentral:rRNA from 1 species